rnacentral:lncRNA from 1 species
GCUGACUCUUUUUUCUGACUCAGCCCGCCUGAACCCAAGUGAUUAAAAAGCUUUAGUGCUCACACAAAGCCUGUUUGGUGGUCUCUUCACACGGACACGAGUGAAAGCCCGAAUUUUGAAAAUAAUUAUUUUCAGAAGUUAUCACUUCUCCUUGCUGCCGCCAUGUGAAGAUGGACAUGUUUGCUUCCCCUUCCACCAGAUUGUAAGUUUUCUGAGGCCUCCCCAGCCAUGCUGAACUGUGAGUCAAUGAAACUUCUUUCCUUUCUUUUAUAAAUCACCCAGUCUCAUGCAUGUCUUUGUUAGGCACAUGAUAAUGGACUAAUAAAACUAUUUUAUUAAUAAGUGAUCAAGUAAUCUCUUUUUGAGACAGGGUCUUGCUCUGUCAACUGGGCUGGUGUGAUCACAGCUCUCAUGCAACCUCCACUUCUGGGGCUCAAGCAAUCCUCCCACCUCAGACUCUUGAGUACGUAGGACUAGAGGCUUGCACCACCACACCCAGCUAAUUUUUGUUUAUUUGUUAAUUUUCUUUUUUGUAGAGAUGUGAUUUCUCCACGUUUUUUAGUCUGGUCCUGAACUACUGGGGUCUAGUGUUCUGCCUGCCUCAACAUCCCAAAGUGCUGGAAUUACAGGCCUGAGCCACUGCACCCGGCCUAGCUUGUAGUCUCUUGAAGUACAGAAUUGAAACUGGCAAAAUAAAUUGGCUACAGGUUUUUAGACUGGAUUAAAUUAAUAUAUAUUAUUAAAAAGAUCAUAUUGUCCCAUUAUUAAAAAUUAUUUGAAAAUAAAGUCAACCAUAAUCCCAAAACACUGAUGAC